CCCGGCGUCGCCGUGGUGGUGGGUUUCGUUUCGCCUCGACGCCUUCGCGCUUCCCCUGCGUUCCCUCGCUUCGCGCCGCGCAGUCGCCCGUUUGGGAUCCGCAUGCCGCCCGCGGUGUCGGGGGGCCGCCCGCCUGAGGCGUGCCGAGCCGUCGCGCCGAGCCGAGCUAAGGCAGCCCGCACCGGGCCGGUCCGCCGGUACAGCUUGUCCAGGUAAACGUUCAAGAAACACUUACCACGAACGAAAUUUCCUCUGAUGACGGUUAAGAGGGUACUGACCUUACUAGUUGGUUUACUACAGACGUGUAAAAUGGUCUUGCCACACACGAGAAUACCGUCGGCAACGUCUAUACUUGUACAACUUCAAAGAAGACUUAUGUGGGUUGGUAGUUGAUGACGUCGUGAACGUGGUAGGUUGAGAAUAGACAGUACCACAGGAGAAACACUCCCCCUUUAUCUACACUCGUUGGUCUGUGUGUUUUCAAAUAGCCAUACGAGACACGUAGUCAGAUGGACCUCUAAACUACUACUUCUAACGUAAGGUCUCCUACCCUUGUCGAACAGUAGUCGCGAUUGACGUGUUUUGGUUCGCGAGGUGGGUGAACGAGUAGACGGGUAUACGAGAAAACGGCGUCGACCUUGAACAGGGAUACCCUUUCUCACGGGAGUCUACGUACCCCUAGGUACGUGUUGGACACCUUUUGUCACGAACGUAGGGAUGGCCGGGUCGCUUCCACCCCGAGUAUAGUUCGAGACGUUCUCUUUGUUGUUUGCAGAACUCUGGAACUUUUUUUCACUUCUCUACCUUACAUCACACACAAACCUGGCACACGAAAGUUUCGGGUGUCGUCGCCUUUUCUCCAAACCCGAAGAUGGACUUACACUGGUACGGAAGACAUAGUGUACGUAAUCCUUCACCGCGUCGUCGAGAGAAUGUAGAAGAUACCUAUAGCUGAGAUGUCAGUUCCGAACAGGUUAUACGGCGUUUCAGAGCAUGAUGCAGUAAGGAUCACGAUGUACCAUGAGGAGCUUCCUCCUUUUUGUCCUAUAUUAACUGCCAAUGUUCCGGUUCGAGUUCAGUUAACUAACAUCCAUGAAACUGAAACCUUCCCUGUGAACGGGGAAACCACCAGCUACAAAGAUGUUCGUACGGAUGUGGCUACCCGCGAACCUCCUCGGCCGUUGCCACCGACACGAAGUAAAAGUACGGCUGUUACCUUCAUAUCUCGUACGUUCUUUAUAACCUAACCGCAUGAACGAGUCGGCCAAUGUAGAUAUCUUCCUUCGUCAACUCUUCUCUUCAUGCAUGAAUGAAUCCCUCGGUAUUGAAAGAGAGGGCGACCACCAACGACGGUUGAAUAUUAGGUGUCUUUGAAGUCAAACGGCGGCAUUUAGAGGUUUUUUCAAUGUUCUGUUGACAUUUGGAUUGCUGUCGCCUCUACAGUACGGAGUCUAGUAGUGCCCAAGGAACAGUACUUGUUAGUAACACAACAGAAACCCGAUCCUCAAGAGGACAGCUUGUACUCUUGAAGUGCAGCAAUGGAACGGGCACAUGCUUUCCGUGACAUAUAUGAGCAUCACCAUGUAGGACAGGCAAAGAGCAGGUACCUCAUUUAUUAAACAAGUCCGAUAUGUCCAUCUUGUCACGUUGCGUCUAGGAAGGUAUGCACUUAAAUACGAAACCGGGCGCCCAACUUUGGACGUUCCAGAGCCACCAUGAACGUCACGUCCAGGGUAGAUCUAUAAAUGUGCUUAACACGUUUUGCUUAAACUGGACUUGAAGCAACAGG
rnacentral:rRNA from 1 species